rnacentral:rRNA from 1 species
GUGAGGAAUUUUCCGCAAUGGGCGAAAGCCUGACGGAGCAAUGCCGCGUGAAGGAUGAAGGCCUAUGGGUUGUAAACUUCUUUUCUCAGAAAAGAAUUAUGACGGUAUCUGAGGAAUAAGCAUCGGCUAACUCUGUGCCAGCAGCCGCGGUAAGACAGAGGAUGCAAGCGUUAUCCGGAAUGAUUGGGCGUAAAGCGUCUGUAGGUUGUUUAAAAAGUAUUCUGUCAAAGAUUAGGGCUUAACCCUAGAUAGGCAGAAUAAACUUUUAAGCUAGAGGUUGGUAGAGGCAGAGGGAAUGCCCGGUGGAGCAGUGAAAUGCGUAGAUAUCGUGAGGAACACCAAAGGCGAAGGCACUCUGCUGGGCCAAUACUAACACUUAGAGACGAAAGCGAGAGGAGCAAAUGGGAUUAGAAACCCUUGUAGUCC